rnacentral:lncRNA from 1 species
AAUCAGCGCCCUCAGCCAAUCAGCACCGAGCAUCAGGGACUCGGGGGCGGGGCCGACAGUCGGCGCCAUUUUUCCUUUUUGCCUCUCACUCCCGUCAUGCCCCGCGCUCCACAGAACCCCGGGAUCGCCCCCAUCUGUCCCUGUUUUGUAAAGUGGUGUUCCUAACAUAUUAGUCCGGGAUCUCAGUAUAACAAAGAAGGAGGGCUGUAUAAUUCCUAAGAUCCAAAAAGCGUCGGAUUCUUUCCCACCUGCGUUGUUCUGCGUCCGGAUUUAAUGGAGUUCCUGUCAGCAGCCAAUCCAGAAUGCCUGUUUUCUCUAAUGGAUUAAAGUUAGUUGCAAUCAUAAAGCACAAACUCU